GACGAACGCUGGCGGCGUGCUUAACACAUGCAAGUCGAACGGAAAGGCCCUGCUUGCAGGGUACUCGAGUGGCGAACGGGUGAGUAACACGUGGGUGAUCUGCCCUGCACUUCGGGAUAAGCCUGGGAAACUGGGUCUAAUACCGGAUAGGAGCCAUUUUUAGUGUGAUGGUUGGAAAGUUUUUUCGGUGUAGGAUGAGCUCGCGGCCUAUCAGCUUGUUGGUGGGGUAAUGGCCUACCAAGGCGGCGACGGGUAGCCGGCCUGAGAGGGUGGACGGCCACAUUGGGACUGAGAGACGGCCCAGACUCCUACGGGAGGCAGCAGUGGGGAAUAUUGCACAAUGGGCGCAAGCCUGAUGCAGCGACGCCGCGUGGGGGAUGACGGCCUUCGGGUUGUAAACUCCUUUCGCUAGGGACGAAGCUUUUCGUGACGGUACCUAGAUAAGAAGCACCGGCUAACUACGUG
rnacentral:rRNA from 1 species